rnacentral:rRNA from 1 species
GACGAACGCCGGCGGCGUGCUUAACACAUGCAAGUCGAACGGAAAGGCCCCGCUUUUGUGGGGUGCUCGAGUGGCGAACGGGUGAGUAACACGUGAGUAACCUGCCCUUGACUUUGGGAUAACUUCAGGAAACUGGGGCUAAUACCGGAUAGGAGCUCCUGCUGCAUGGUGGGGGUUGGAAAGUUUCGGCGGUUGGGGAUGGACUCGCGGCUUAUCAGCUUGUUGGUGGGGUAGUGGCUUACCAAGGCUUUGACGGGUAGCCGGCCUGAGAGGGUGACCGGCCACAUUGGGACUGAGAUACGGCCCAGACUCCUACGGGAGGCAGCAGUGGGGAAUAUUGCACAAUGGGCGGAAGCCUGAUGCAGCAACGCCGCGUGCGGGAUGACGGCCUUCGGGUUGUAAACCGCUUUCGCCUGUGACGAAGCGUGAGUGACGGUAAUGGGUAAAGAAGCACCGGCUAACUACGUG